rnacentral:rRNA from 1 species
UACGGAGGGUGCAAGCGUUAUCCGGAUUUACUGGGUUUAAAGGGUGUGUAGGCGGACUUUUAAGUCAGCGGUGAAAUCUCCGGGCUCAACCCGGAAACUGCCAUUGAUACUGUAAGACUUGAGGAUGAGAGAGGUGAGUGGAAUUCCCAGUGUAGAGGUGAAAUUCGUAGAUAUUGGGAAGAACACCGGUGGCGAAGGCGGCUCACUGGCUCAUAUCUGACGCUCAGGCGCGACAGCGUGGGGAUCAAACAGG